UUGGGCGCCUGUUGUUUUUUUUUUUGGUUUAACAACUAUGUUAUAUUUCAUUAAAUAUGCAGGUAUGUUGUGUUACAGGUCUAUGCAUGUAAAUGACUCGGCUAUUAUACAAACCCUGCUCGUCUGACUUGAAAGCAUCUCAGUUAUUGGACCAGUAAUCUGUACACUAAAGCACAACAAUGAGAACGCAGGAGAAAAAUGGGGAAGUGAUGUGUGUUGAUUUGGAGAUUUGCAGAAGAGACUAAACAAUGUCAAGGACGCUGAAUGUUGUUGCCAACUAAAUAAAAAAAAUAUUGAGCUACAAACGAAAGGGUUUAGAAACUUUGAUUACUCACUGCUAAAAAGUGCACAGUGAAAACUUGAAACACAUUCCUGGGCCUGACACUAAAUAUAUAUUUUAUAGCAACAUAGAGCAACACCAAAUUGAUGCUUUCGACACACAAUCAAUAUAUAUUGGAAAACAUUUCAUAAUAGUAGCACUAUGACUCUAUGUUUACAAGUCUAACCCUAUCUCUACUACGGAAAAUGCGAAAUAUCAAUUUCAGUUAUUUGUCGAUUUAGAUUUUAGAAAUAGACGCAGGCAGGUUUUUUUAAAUAAAUUGCGUAAUGUUAUUU